rnacentral:rRNA from 1 species
GACGAACGCUGGCGGCGUGCUUAACACAUGCAAGUCGAACGGAAAGGCCCUGCUUUUGUGGGGUGCUCGAGUGGCGAACGGGUGAGUAAAACGUGAGUAACAUGCCCUUGACUUUGGGAUAACUUCAGGAAACUGGGGCUAAUACCGGAUAGGAGAUACUGCUGCAUGGUGGGGGUUGGAAAGAUUCGGCGGUUGGGGAUGGACUCGAGGCUUAUCAGCUUGUUGGUGGGGUAGUGGCUUACCAAGGCUUUGACGGGUAGCCGGCCUUAGAGGGUGACCGGCCACAUUGGGACUGAGAGACGGCCCAGACUCCUACGGGAGGCAGCAGUGGGGAAUAUUGCACAAUGGGCGGAAGCCUGAUGCAGCAACGCCGCGUGCGGGAUGACGGCCUUCGGGUUGUAAACCGCUUUCGCCUGUGACGAAGCGUUAUUGACGGUAAUGGGUAAAGAAGCACCGGCUAACUACGUG